GGCUCGUUGGUCUAGGGGUAUGAUUCUCGCUCAGUUGGUUAGAGCGUGGUGCUAAUAACGCCAAGAUCACGGGUUCGAGCCCCGUACGGGCCA